GGCCGACUAGCUCAGUUGGUUAGAGCGUCGUGCUAAUAACGCGAAGGUCUUGGGUUCGAUCCCCAUGUUGGCCA
rnacentral:tRNA from 1 species